GAUGAACGCUGGCGGCGUGCCUAAUACAUGCAAGUCGAGCGACCAGAUAAGAAGCUUGCUCCUCUAACGUUAGCGGCGGACGGGGGAGUAACACGUGGAUAACCUACCUAUAAUACUGGGAUAACUUCGGGAAACCGGAGCUAAUACCGGAUAAUAUAUUGAACGGCAUGGUUCAAUAGUGAAAGACGGUUUUCCUGUCACUUUAAGACGAUUCCGGACCGCAUUAGCUAGUUGGUAAGGUAACGGCUUACCAAGGCAACGAUGCGUAGCCGACCUGAGAGGGUGAUCGGCCACACUGGAACUGAGACACGGUCCAGACUCCUACGGGAGGCAGCAGUAGGGAAUCUUCCGCAAUGGGCGAAAGCCUGACGGAGCAACGCCGCGUGAGUGAUGAAGGUCUUCGGAUCGUAAAACUCUGUUAUUAGGGAAGAACAAAUGUGUAAGUAACUAUGCACGUCUUGACGGUACCUAAUCAGAAAGCCACGGCUAACUACGUG
rnacentral:rRNA from 1 species